AGUGAACGCUGGCGGUAGGCCUAACACAUGCAAGUCGAACGGCAGCACAGUAAGAGCUUGCUCUUACGGGUGGCGAGUGGCGGACGGGUGAGGAAUACAUCCGAAUCUACUUUUUCGUGGGGGAUAACGUAGGGAAACUUACGCUAAUACCGCAUACGACCUACGGGUGAAAGCAGGGGAUCUUCGGACCUUGAGCGAUUGAAUGAGCCGAUGUCGGAUUAGCUAGUUGGCGGGGUAAAGGCCCACCAAGGCGACGAUCCGUAGCUGGUCUGAGAGGAUGAUCAGCCACACUGGAACUGAGACACGGUCCAGACUCCUACGGGAGGCAGCAGUGGGGAAUAUUGGACAAUGGGCGCAAGCCUGAUCCAGCCAUACCGCGUGGGUGAAGAAGGCCUUCGGGUUGUAAAGCCCUUUUGUUGGGAAAGAAAAGCAGCAGGUUAAUACCCCGCUGUUCUGACGGUACCCAAAGAAUAAGCACCGGCUAACUUCGUG
rnacentral:rRNA from 1 species